rnacentral:lncRNA from 1 species
AUAGGAGAGUGGGAUUGAGUUACGUGAAAAGUAAGAAGUUUUCAGCAUUUCUGAUGUUUUUUUUCCGGACCUGAUGGUGUGGCUGGAGAUUUGGGAAGUGUCUCUAUUUACUGGUGAACCUGUAGUUUUCAGCAAGAACUGAUGCACUUCAGUGUUUGAAGAAAGAGGUUUGCAGAGUGGCGAGGUUGUGUUGAACAAGUACAGAAUGCUAAUCUUUUUUCAACUUGUUUUUAGAAACAGGGAAUACAGGAUAAAUUUUGCUCACUUUGGUGCCAAAAUGAAUUCAGCUGUGGUGAUUUAAGAAGGAGAAGGACUUGGCAUGCUGUGUGCAAGUUGCAGGCUGAAACAAUUAUGUGUUUUUAAAAAAAUCAUACAUAGAACGUAAUUCUGUCCAAGUCUGUGGAAUUUAAGUAAUUACAUUUUCAUCCUCUAAGUCUCAGCUUACAAAUGUAAAUAUAUGCACAUUUAGAGUUCAGCCUUGCUAUGAAUAUUGCCAGCAGGAACUUGCCACUGGCUUUCUGGAGCUGAUAAAACCUGCUUGAAUGUUCAGUAUCUGUAAAACAAGGAAGGACUUGGUGACUGGCUGAGACUAGGACUCUGUGAGUGCAAUGGCUGAAGGAGGGUGAAAUUGCACAGAGAGGAAAAAAUCAUGAUUUCAUAGCAUGCUGUCUUUGUGAUCCACUUAAAGGGAGCAGAAAAGCCCUUGAUAGAAGUAGAAUGCUUUUUGAGCUUCUGCUGCCACUGAAGUCAAUGUGUUACUAAUCAGGAUGCCACCUCCUCAUACCAUCCCCAUGGACAUGUCCAGCUCAUUCCUACUGCAGAGCUCUCCAGAGACCUGGGCAUCCAUAGCGUUGACAGCAGCAGCAUUUUUCAUGGUGAUGUCUUUGUACCUACGGGGAGAGCAGAAAAAGAUGAGACUGCGUGGCUGAAUGUGGUAAGAGAGCAGCUGGGAUACUUUGGAGUGACACUGCUGCUUGAGAUCUGCUCCCAGGCUGAGGACAGAGCAGCACUGAUCAGGCAGACAUAUUAUGCAGAUGGAUGGGCAUGGAAAAGGGACUAGGAUUUUCCCUCUGGAGACCGACCUCUUAUUGAGAUUUAUUGACGUCAGAAGGAUUGCAUAAAUACAGCCUUUAAAUCUUCAGAGGGUGCUCAUUGAAGAGUUUAACCAGGGGUUUUCUCGAGUUUUCUCUCACCAUCAGCAGUAUUAAAAGAGUUCCUCAAUGUACUUGUGAGCUAGGAUGGAAUCAGAAAUAAAAACAAGGAGUGAGUAGAAAAGCA